UUUUUACGAUAAUUGUUUAUUUAGAUAAUACAAAUUCCUAAAUUUAUAUCCUAUAAUUAUAGGUGCUAAUAGUAAUUUUUUCAUUAAAGAACUAAGUUAUAUAAUACAUAAAUACUCCCAUGUUUUUAUAUCUGUAAUGUAUCAUAAUAGAAUUUUAAAAAUAAGAACGUACUUAACUCCUUGAAUAGCCCACUUUAGUAGGUGGGAAGUUAGAAAGGUAUAUCUUAACCUUCCAAUCUAUACAUUUUGAAAUUUUCCGCAUAUCACUUGAUACAGUUAUUAACUUUUUUUUUUCAUUCAUCAAAAAAUGUCUUCCUGUACUAUUAAAGCUUUCUGUGUACUAUAUGUUGAGAACCAUUGGUAUUGAACAUAAAAUAAUUUUAAAAUGAUAUUUAUUGAAAACAAUGACAGAUUAUUGCAAUUAAAAUAUGAUUCUGAGUGUAAUAAUAUUAGUUAUAAAAGGAAAGGACAUUUUUUUUUAAAGGUACUUUUCCCUCUGUAACUAAGAUAACCCAGAAAUCGUCAUAGAUAAAACUGAU